rnacentral:rRNA from 1 species
GACGAACGCUGGCGGCGUGCCUAAUACAUGCAAGUAGAACGCUAAAGGAGGAGCUUGCUUCUCUGGAUGAGUUGCGAACGGGUGAGUAACGCGUAGGUAACCUGCCUGGUAGCGGGGGAUAACUAUUGGAAACGAUAGCUAAUACCGCAUAAUAGUAGUUGUUGCAUGACAACUGUUUGAAAGGUGCAAUUGCAUCACUACCAGAUGGACCUGCGUUGUAUUAGCUAGUUGGUGGGGUAACGGCUCACCAAGGCGACGAUACAUAGCCGACCUGAGAGGGUGAUCGGCCACACUGGGACUGAGACACGGCCCAGACUCCUACGGGAGGCAGCAGUAGGGAAUCUUCGGCAAUGGACGGAAGUCUGACCGAGCAACGCCGCGUGAGUGAAGAAGGUUUUCGGAUCGUAAAGCUCUGUUGUAAGAGAAGAACGAGUGUGAGAGUGGAAAGUUCACACUGUGACG